UUACACAAGUAUAAAUACAAUCAAGGAAUGUAAAAUAACUUAAUUCAUAAGAGAACCAGAUAAAGGACAUGAAGCAUGCCUAGAAAAAUCAUUCAAGUUAAAUAGUCAAGAUAAUCUGGGAAGUGUGCUUUACAUUCACAGGAACCAGAUUAGAGACAUGAUACCUUGGUGUUCUCCUAACAGAAGUAUAAGUCAACUGAACAACUGGAAAGCAAUUGCAAAAAGUGACUGCAUGUAAUAGUGCACCAGAUAGUGCAAUAAUCACUUCCCAAUUAGAUUGGACAUCACCAUUGUGAAUUGACAUCACUAAGUAAUGUAUUUUGUAGAAUAAACCUUAUACAAGGCACAAGAUUCAGGUUCCAAGAGUUGCAAAACCAGAAAUGAAAAUCCUCUCUCAAGUGCAAGAACAACCUUUCUCAAGAACAAAGCUACUUCAACCUCAAGGACCGGAUCCAAGAUUGAAGAUAUCUUAAGUCCUUAGGAUUGUUUAGUCUUCGUUAUUUUUUCUUCAAUUGUAACUCCUAUGUUUCUUUCUUAGAAGCUGUGUUUUAGGAAACCC
rnacentral:lncRNA from 1 species